rnacentral:rRNA from 1 species
UACGUAGGGGGCUAGCGUUGUCCGGAAUCAUUGGGCGUAAAGCGCGUGUAGGCGGCCCGGUAAGUCCGCUGUGAAAGUCAAAGGCUCAACCUUUGAAUGCCGAUGGAUACUGCGAAGCUAGAGUACGGAAGAGGCGAGUGGAAUUCCUGGUGUAGCGGUGGAAUGCGCAGAUAUCAGGAGGAACACCAAUAGCGAAGGCAGCUCGCUGGGACGUUACUGACACUAAGGCGCGAAAGCGUGGGGAGCGAACAGG